CCAGAGAGAUGGAUGGUCUGAAAUUCAGGGUUCAGGGUUUUAUGUCUAUUUGAAGUUGAUAAGGAAGUUAAAUGGAAAACUUUACUUCUCCAUUGAGAGUGUUGGAGUUGAAGGUGAGGAGGGUUUUACAGUUGGAAUGGGUAUAUGGUUGAAGGGGAGGAGAUUUGAAGUUAUAUGGUUCGUCGGAAUGCGUAAGUAUAUCAAACCCACUUCGAUAUUUGUUUAAGUUUGAUAUCUGAAACACACAAUUUAGAAAUUUAUGUAUGAAAUUCAUUUUAGGGUUCAUGAAUUUGGGGGUUUUGAAUGUUAAAGCUUUAAUUUUUAAGGAAAUUUGGUUCGAUCGGUUUGGGAUUUGAUUUGUAGGGUUUCAGAGUCUGGGGGUUUUACUGUAAAAGCAUUUAACUUGGGUUUGUGGUGGUAAAAGUACAAGAUCCAAUUAGCAUCUUAAAAAUUAAACUUGUGAAUUAGGUUGAUGAAAUCAGAUGAUAAAAUUCAAUUUUGUUGACUUGUUUGCUGGUGGGUUCGAUAAAGAUAAGUCAUGUAAACUUUUUGAAUUGUAGAUUAAAGUUCUGAAGAUAGCUUUUCCUUUGUUUGAGUAAUUUGAUUACUGGGUUUCUCUUGAUGCUUUUAAGGUGGAAAAUAUAAAUGUGGGUGAUUAGAGAAAGCAUUCUGCUCUUACUCUCAACAACAGCUUGGGAUGAAGUGAUGUGUUUCCCUAAGAUACAAUUAAGGAUAAUAUGGAAAAUCUUCAGAGGUGUUUGUUGUCAAACUGGAGUCUAAAGUUUUCGUAAGGAGAUUUGGAGAUGGCCGCGUAAUGUGAUUCACUUUCAAACUUUUGGUGGUUUUUCAGACAUCUUCUCUGAGGCUAAGGAUAAGAGUAGGCCUAAUAGUCGGGAGUUGAAGCUGUUUUUUUACUUCGUCAGACUCAACUGCAGCUAUUCAUGCUUUUAUGGCAAGUAAAUUUACCUUGAUAUGGGAUUUUAAUUUUGGAAGAUCUGGAGCAAUGAAGACUGCAGUCAAAAUAACAACCUAGCACAAUUCAUAUGAGGCGCAGUAGCGAUUUCUGAAUUUGUGGAUGAUGCAGGUAACUCAGCAUGGACCAUACUGUGAGCUAAUAGGAGGCUAAAUUUAAUGAUGACCAUUUUGUUAUUGAUUAAGAGCGUCAAGUUAUGUCCGCCGACGAAAGUAGUGCAACGGAUGUUAUUCUUAACACCGAAGAAAUCAAGCAUGCAAUCUUUUGACUUGGGAGCUGACUGACAAUUGUCUAGGACCGGAUAGGUUUUCUGGAUGUUUUUACAGAUACUGCUGGGAGGCUAUUGGUCUUUAUUCCUACGAGGAGAUUUGGCUUUGCAAGAAAUCGAAUGCUUUUGAUAAUGAGACUCCGAACAAUGCACUUUUAAUACUGGUGAAUGUGAAGAAGCGAGGAUGAAGGGGUGCUGUGUGGAAUUCCUCUUAUGAUUUACAAGUUUUUAGAAAUUUUGGUUUAAAGUGUCAGAAGAUUUCAAGCACUAGAGUUGUGGAGUGCUUCAAGAGGAAGUUUUAGGUAGAAGCCGUAGUGGUGAUUUUGCUGGUACUUGUAGUUGCUGGUUAUAGCUUUUACUCCAUUUUUAUUUUUUGCUAUGGUUGAUUCACCAUUUUACGGCUAUGGCUCAUCUUCAGCAGUUUGUGAACAUGGCUGGACACCUGUAAGCAUCCUAGAGCAUCGGAUUAAAAUAGGAACCCGCCGCAGCACAUGGGGUGCUUCAGUAAAUUGUUUUCAGUAAAUGGGAAGUAAAUAACACGUGCAUGUAGGAUGGCAUUUUCAUCCGUUGAAUUUGAUGGGACACGUGUCAAGCAUUAAGUCAAAUGAUCCCCUGCACAACAACGAUGGAUGGCCGGGAUUCUGUCACGGUUUAUUUUCGAAAAAAACAAUGGUCGGCCACUGUGCUACUCUUUACCAAUCAGCUAGUAAAUUGGUGGACAAAUUAAAGAAGCUAAUAAGCUAUAAUUGUUAUAGGGCCUAUGGCCAUGGAUCCAUUAGAUGACUAGGUUUUCUCUUACAUGUAUAUAAAGAACAUUAUGUGGAUGUAAUAUAUGACGCCUCUUUAUCAAUAAGAAGUUCUUCUUCUUUAA